rnacentral:lncRNA from 1 species
CUGAAAUACUUUGCUGUCAGCCCUGAAAGUUGAAUGCUAUGAAGGAGUUCUGCAAGAUGCUCAUCAACUCAGUUCUUUCUCAAAAGCUAAGGAUCUAUUCUGGUGCCAAAUACCAGAAAUAACAAGUGGUGAAUUUGAAGCUGUUUAGUGCCUGAUGACCCAGGACUUGCACUGAACUACAGAAAGGUAGCUUUAAGAGAAGCCUGCCAAAAACCUGAUGGAAGGAAAUCACCAUUUAGCCUUAAUUUAUUAAUCAUGAGCUUUUAAAUCUAGUUUUAACAUUCAGUCCAUGCCAGCAAACAUUUUAUGAAGUUCCCUGUACUUGUUGGAUUUCUUGGUGGUAUCACUAGUGAAAUCUCAUUAUUCUCAGAUACUUAGUUAAAAGGUACAAAUACAAGGCACAGUGGCUCCCUCCUAUAAUCCCAUCAAUUUAGGAGGCUGAGGCAGGAGGGCAGAAGUUUGAGGGCAGCCUUAAGCAAUUUAACAAGGCUCUGAGCAACUUGAUAAUACUUUCUCAAAAUAAAAAUUAGAAGGGCUGAGGAUGUAGCUCAGAGGUAAAAUGCCCCUGGGUUCAAUCCCCGGUACCAAAAAGCAAUAAAAAUAAAAAUAUAAAGAGCUGGGCAUGGUGGUGCAUGUCAAUAAUCUCAGCUGCUCAGGAGGCUGAGACAGGAGGAUUGUGAGUUCAAAGCCAGCCUCAGCAAAAGCGAGGUGCUAAGCAACUCAGUGAGACCCUAUCUCUAUAUAAAAUACAAAACAGAGCUGGAGAUGUGGUUCAGUGAGCCAAUGCCCAAGUUUAAUCCCUGGUACCUAAGUAAAUAAAUGAAAAAGAGCUAGAAAAUAUAUUUUUUAAAAAAACCCAGUCUUAAGGAUUGUGCAGCAGAGAGGACCCCAUUUAAAACUGAAAAAACAAAAAGUCUGUUUUGGUUUAGAAAAAUCUUGAGACAAAGUUUUGGAGGUUAACUGGCCUUUGAGACAAGCGUCCUCCACCAGUGCACUGACCCAAUUACGGCUCUCUUGAAGCUGCUGUGUUUGGAAAUGUGGAUGCUAUUAAGUCUCUUCCAUCACAUUAGACUUUAUUCAACUAGUAAUUAUGAAUAUGAGCUCAGCUCUGUGGAAAACAGAAUGGAAUGGUCAGCAGCCAUACUUGGAGAGUCUGCUCCCUGGUGUCUAGAGAACAGGAUAAUAUUCCAGUGUCCUCCAGCCAAGCUUGGCUGGUUUUCCCAGUGUUAGGCUGCAGAAACUUUAUAAACUCAGGGUGUGGAUCUCUAAGCUUUAAAGUUUAGCAUCUGGGGAUUUGAGCCCAAUCUCCCAGCCCCCACAAGACCCCAUUGCAUGCCUCCCCCACCUGCUGCUGUGCCAUUCUUGAAUAAUCUGUCAUACAGUUUGGCUUCUGAACCUUCAAAUUGGAUGUUUCCUUAGAGUCUAUGUCUCAAGAGUUAUAAACAACAUGUGUCAUCAAGUGAGGAUUUAAGUGCUAUUAAGGAGAAUUAACAUGUGAAAGGGCUUUGCAACCCAGAGACUUAUUUAUUAGGAGAUCCUGCUCAAUGAGGAUGUUACAUCACAGAAAACAGAAUUCUACCUCAUUUAAUCAUCAUUCCCUGAAAACCACUGAGGAAUGGGUAAACCAGUCUGACAAAUAUUCAAAAAAUAUGUAUUAGUCACUGAACAAAGCCUAUACACAAGAUGGUGGAGGUCCUAGUCUUAUAAAUUCAGGCACCAGAACUAGGUGUGGUGGCCACGCCUGUCAUCCCAGGCCAGCCUCAGCAAUUUAGCAAGAUUCUGUCUCAAAAUGAAAAAUAAAAAGGACUGAGGAUGUAACUCCUGGGUUCAAUCCCCAAUUAAAAAAAAGAAAGAAAGGAAAAAAUAAGUUGAGGCACCAGGCAAUAGACUGGGCAGCAGCGCAGCUUGGUGCAUCUGGUUUGAAAUAAUAUUUUUAUAAGUAGACAUCUUUCCUCACAAAGCAAAACUGAAGCUAUAAUCCAUGGAAAGAAUUGUAACAAAUUAAUAUUAAGUCACUAAUUAAAACUGGUACAUAACAGCAAAUUUGAAUUUAACUUUUAUAAGCAUGUCAGCAUGAUGUCUAUUUAAUAGCAUAACAUUUGUUUAAAAAUUAAUUUUAGCUAAAACAUGAGGAAUAAUCAUUUUGCUCUUUGAACACAUGUUAAAAAUUUGCUUGUAAAGUUUGCAGUGCUGGGAUGGAACCCAGGGCUUUUUUCAUGCUAAAUAAGCACUUUACCAUUGAGCUACAUCCCCAGUCCCAGAAACAUUGUUUUAAAUUAGACAAUUCAUAUCAAAAUAAACUGAAAUAAGAUGCUAUUCUAAACUCUUAAAUGUGCAGCCUUUAACUUUUAAAUUCAAAGGAAGACUGUCAAGCACCAGAAUGAAGGUGGGAAGAAAAGUGGGAAGAAGGUGGGAACCUAGUUCAGCAAGAACCACCAGAAAGUGUGUGUGUAUUACUAGGAAUGAAACCCAGGUCCUUGAAUGUGCUAGGCAAGUGCUGUGCCACUGAGUUGCAUCCCCCAGACAUUGAUUUUAUUUUUUAAAUUUUGAGACAGGGUCUCACCAAAUUGCCCAGGAUGGCCUUGAACUUUCAAUUCUCCUGCAUCAGCCUACCAAGUCGCUGAAGAUUACAGGUGUGGGCAACUGAAUCUGGCAAGAACCACCAAGAUCU